AUGAUUCUGCCUGACUUCUUGACUCACGUAAUAGAGAAUUACUCAUCCGACUCCGGAAGGUCCUGUCGGAACUCAGGAGGGCUGGACUCACAGACAACUCCAGGAAGUCCCAUCUGGUGAAGCACGGUACCUUGGAUAUUGGAUUGGUCGUGGCCUCUUCAAACCUCAGUAAGACUGAAAGAUUGUGGCAGUAACUACCCUCGCCCCGUGACUAUGAGCCAGGGACAGAUGAGACACACGUGUUUUUGUCCGCUGCAG